GAUGGGUUCUGCUACAAUACAGUUCAUUCUUGGUCUUUUAUUACACCAAGGCUUUCUCCAGCAUUCCGUUUUCGGGUCACUUACAUCAAGCUGGAAACGGAAUACGACCCUGGCUACCGGUUUGAAGCCGGAGAAGAUGGCGAGUGUAGCUUCAAGGUGCGUGCUGCUAGCGAUGUGGACGUAGUAUUAUCUGCCGACGAUGCGCACACUAAACCGGUGCUGGAGAUUGUAAUCGGAGAUCGGAGGAUAAAUCGAAUAGCAAACAACACGAAAUCUCAAGUUCGAUCUGCUGCAGGCGAGAUCUCGAGAAAAACCCACGCCAGCCAUUCUGAGUGCGAAAGAAUACCGUACCUUCAGGAUACAUUGGAAUAAUCAUGCGGGUACGGUUGGUAAGGAGGGUUCUAAGGAACCGAUCAUGACCUAUGGAAUAGACAAGAUUUCCCCGAGCCGUAAGCUGGAAGUCGUUCCUGGAAGCAAGCGGUCCCAUUCCGUCGUCAUGUGGACCGCGAGGACCGCGAGUGCACACUCCGUUACAAAGACUGCACAGCCGUGUCCUUGCGCGGAGGGAUGCGCUAGGCCGACCGAGUGUUGGAUGUAUCGCAGUAGGAUGGCGCUCGCAAGGCCUUCGACCGUUGCGGGGCUACAUUUGGAGUUUAGCGGGGCG